GCCUAUGACAGUGGGUCUCCUUGGGGAGUCAUUCAGAAAGUGAGACAUAGCUGAGUAGACAUCACACAGAGACCUGUCUGUGAAAAGGUCAUUGGUUGCUUGGAUCUAUGGCCUGCUGUGGCAGUCCACCCGUGUCUUAAACAACACCCAGUUCACCCGUGUCUUAAACAACACUCAGUCCACCCGUGUCUUAAACAACAUUCAGUCCACCCGUGUCUUAAACAACACUCAGUCCACCCGUGUCUUAAACAACACUCAGUCCACCCGUGUCUUAAACAACAUUCAGUCCACCCGUGUCUUAAACAACACUCAGUCCACCCGUGUCUUAAACAACACUCAGUCCACCCAUGUCUUAAACAACACCCAGUCCACCCGUGUCUUAAACAACACCCAGUCCACCCGUGUCUUAAACAACACUCAGUCCACCCAUGUCUUAAUUAAACAACAUUCAGGCCACCCAUGUCUUAAUUAAACAACAUUCAGUCCACCCAUGUCUUAAUUAAACAACAUUCAGUCCACCCAUGUCUUAAACAACACAUUCAGUCUACCCAUGUCUUAAACAACAUUCAGUCCACCCAUGUCUUAAACAACACCCAGUCCACCCAUGUCUUAAACAACAUUCAGUCCACCCGUGUCUUAAACAACACUCAGUCCACCCAUGUCUUAAACAACAUUCAGUCCACCCGUGUCUUAAUUAAACAACAUUCAGUCCACCCAUGUCUUAAUUAAACAACAUUCAGUCCACCCAUGUCUUAAACAACAUUCAGUCCACCCGUGUUUUAAACAACUCAGUCCACCCAUGUCUUAAACAACACUCAGUCCACCCGUGUCUUAAACAACAUUCAGUCCACCCGUGUCUUAAACAACACUCAGUCCACCCGUGUCUUAAACAACACUCAGUCCACCCAUGUCUUAAACAACACCCAGUCCACCCGUGUCUUAAACAACACCCAGUCCACCCGUGUCUUAAACAACACCCAGUCCACCCGUGUCUUAAACAACACUCAGUCCACCCAUGUCUUAAUUAAACAACAUUCAGGCCACCCAUGUCUUAAUUAAACAACAUUCAGUCCACCCAUGUCUUAAUUAAACAACAUUCAGUCCACCCAUGUCUUAAACAACACAUUCAGUCUACCCAUGUCUUAAACAACAUUCAGUCCACCCAUGUCUUAAACAACACCCAGUCCACCCAUGUCUUAAACAACAUUCAGUCCACCCGUGUCUUAAACAACACUCAGUCCACCCGUGUCUUAAACAACACUCAGUCCACCCAUGUCUUAAACAACAUUCAGUCCAC
ensembl:lncRNA